UUUUUGUUUUUUAUAUUUUUUUUUUACUCUCUCAGACGAACGCUGUCGGCGUGCCUAAUACAUGCAAGUCGAACGCUUCUUUUUCCACCGGAGCUUGCUCCACCGGAAAAAGAGGAGUGGCGAACGGGUGAGUAACACGUGGGUAACCUGCCCAUCAGAAGGGGAUAACACUUGGAAACAGGUGCUAAUACCGUAUAACAAUCGAAACCGCAUGGUUUUGAUUUGAAAGGCGCUUUCGGGUGUCGCUGAUGGAUGGACCCGCGGUGCAUUAGCUAGUUGGUGAGGUAACGGCUCACCAAGGCCACGAUGCAUAGCCGACCUGAGAGGGUGAUCGGCCACAUUGGGACUGAGACACGGCCCAAACUCCUACGGGAGGCAGCAGUAGGGAAUCUUCGGCAAUGGACGAAAGUCUGACCGAGCAACGCCGCGUGAGUGAAGAAGGUUUUCGGAUCGUAAAACUCUGUUGUUAGAGAAGAACAAGGAUGAGAGUAACUGUUCAUCCCUUGACGGUAUCUAACCAGAAAGCCACGGCUAACUACGUGCCAGCAGCCGCGGUAAUACGUAGGUGGCAAGCGUUGUCCGGAUUUAUUGGGCGUAAAGCGAGCGCAGGCGGUUUCUUAAGUCUGAUGUGAAAGCCCCCGGCUCAACCGGGGAGGGUCAUUGGAAACUGGGAGACUUGAGUGCAGAAGAGGAGAGUGGAAUUCCAUGUGUAGCGGUGAAAUGCGUAGAUAUAUGGAGGAACACCAGUGGCGAAGGCGGCUCUCUGGUCUGUAACUGACGCUGAGGCUCGAAAGCGUGGGGAGCAAACAGGAUUAGAUACCCUGGUAGUCCACGCCGUAAACGAUGAGUGCUAAGUGUUGGAGGGUUUCCGCCCUUCAGUGCUGCAGCUAACGCAUUAAGCAUCCGC
rnacentral:rRNA from 1 species